CCAGAAGAUUCACGAUGUUCCCAUGGUUUCCCAAAUGACUGAGAAUUUUAAGCUCUGACAUCAACGCUUCCUUCUCAUCUGUAUGGGCACUGGCUAAAUAAGUAGAAAAGGAGGCUCAGUGUUCUCUACGGAUAUUGAUUGAAUGAUCUGGAGGACUUUUUUUUUAUUUUAGCACAAGGCCGCAACAUAACAAAAUGUGAGAGUCUGAAGACCCUGAAGAUGUAUUGUAUAUACUGAUAUAUGGGCGUUAUCUGGCAGUGAUAUGUAAAGAUGUUGCAGCACCAUUAACAUUAUGAAGACAUGAUGACAUUAGAAAGAAUCUGACCUUGGUGACUAUGUUUAGUCGGCCACGUCUUUCACAGCAUAAUCAUGUUUGGUUGUGACUCGAACAAUAGACUGACCUGUUUAUAUUUGUAAAAGAAGAACACCGAAAGCAAGAGGAAGAAG